rnacentral:lncRNA from 1 species
UUCAUGGUCAGCCUCCGUGCCUCGUCUCCUGAGGGCUGAGCUCUCAGCUGCCAGCUUCCGUCUCUGAAGCUGUGUCCAUCCAUUCAGCUCCCCUCAGCAGCCAGAUGGAGGCCCUCGCGUCUUCCCGCUACUGGUCCUGUGGAGGACAACGCAUGGGAGACCUGAGAGGCAGCCAUGACGAAGGAGGCGGGCUGAGGACCAAGGCAGCGGGGCUGGACCCAGAACACGGCCAGGCGCGGGCUGAGCGUAACGCAGCACUGAGCGGCGGGCUGGGCCCAGGUUUGCCUCCACGCUUCCGGCAGCCAGAGCAGAAGGUGCGGGCAGCUCCCGCGUCCCUGCUUGCUUGUUGAGCAGAAGGGCCGGAAGCUCAGCCUGCCGGGGUGACCCUCGGGGUGACCCUCGGGGUGUCGCCGGUGCCCACGUUCCCGAGUGGCUCCUCUCGUAGCUUUUACCCUCCACACGCAGAGCCCAGCUCUCUAGAAUCCUCUUGCUCCCAUUUGGCAACAAAUCAAUCCCACUUCUAGGAGAGCAAAGCUUUAAUCUCUUGUAAGGAAAGGGGCGAGUCUUUCUGACGGUGCGGGCAUUGGGACUGACGUCGGACUGGCCUGUUGGGGAGCCGAAGCCUCAGGACUCAGCCCCCGCUUUGCACACCUGACCGUAGCCAGUCCAGUGUCUCGCUCACAGCAUCCGGCAAGCAGAUACAGAUUGUGCCGGACAGAUACGAACG